rnacentral:rRNA from 1 species
AUUGAACGCUGGCGGCAGGCCUAACACAUGCAAGUCGAGCGAGCGGCGGACGGGUGAGUAAUGUCUGGGAAACUGCCUGAUGGAGGGGGAUAACUACUGGAAACGGUAGCUAAUACCGCAUACCAUCAGAUGUGCCCAGAUGGGAUUGGCUAGUAGGUGGGGUAACGGCUCACCUAGGCGACGAUCCCUAGCUGGUCUGCGAGGAUGACCAGACACACUGGAACGGAGACACGGUCCAGACUCCUACGGAGGACAGCAGUGGGGAAUAUUGCAGAAUGGGCGCAAGCCUGAUGAAGCCAUGCCGCGUGUAUGAUGAAGGCCUUCGGUUUGUAAAGUACUUUCAGCGGGGAGGCGUUACCCACAGAAGAAGCGCCGGCUAACUCCGUGCCAGCAGCCGCGGUAAUUC